GACGAACGCUGGCGGCGUGCUUAACACAUGCAAGUCGAGCGGUAAGGCUCCUUCGGGAGUACACGAGCGGCGAACGGGUGAGUAACACGUGAGCAAUCUGCCCUUCACAUCGGGAUAACUCCGGGAAACCGGUGCUAAUACCGAAUACGACCACUUCAGGCAUCUGAUGGUGGUGGAAAGUUCCGGCGGUGAAGGAUGAGCUCGCGGCCUAUCAGCUUGUUGGUGGGGUAACGGCCCACCAAGGCAACGACGGGUAGCCGGCCUGAGAGGGUGACCGGCCACACUGGGACUGAGACACGGCCCAGACUCCUACGGGAGGCAGCAGUGGGGAAUAUUGGACAAUGGGCGAAAGCCUGAUCCAGCAACGCCGCGUGAGGGAUGACGGCCUUCGGGUUGUAAACCUCUUUCAUCCACGACGAAGCGCAAGUGACGGUAGUGGAAGAAGAAGCACCGGCCAACUACGUGCCAGCCGCCGCCGUAAAAC
rnacentral:rRNA from 1 species